GGGUUGUGAGGUUAAGCGACUAAGCGUACACGGUGGAUGCCCUGGCAGUCAGAGGCGAUGAAGGACGUGCUAAUCUGCGAUAAGCGCCGGUAAGGUGAUAUGAACCGUUAUAACCGGCGAUUUCCGAAUGGGGAAACCCAGUGUGACUCGUCACACUAUCAUUAACUGAAUCCAUAGGUUAAUGAGGCGAACCGGGGGAACUGAAACAUCUAAGUACCCCGAGGAAAAGAAAUCAACCGAGAUUCCCCCAGUAGCGGCGAGCGAACGGGGAGGAGCCCAGAGCCUGAAUCAGCAUGUGUGUUAGUGGAAGCGUCUGGAAAGGCGCGCGAUACAGGGUGACAGCCCCGUACACAAAAGCGCAUGUGCUGUGAGCUCGAUGAGUAGGGCGGGACACGUGGUAUCCUGUCUGAAUAUGGGGACCAUCCUCCAAGGCUAAAUACUCCUGACUGACCGAUAGUGAACCAGUACCGUGAGGGAAAGGCGAAAAGAACCCCGGCGAGGGGAGUGAAAAAGAACCUGAAACCGUGUACGUACAAACAGUGGGAGCACCCUUCGGGGUGUGACUGCGUACCUUUUGUAUAAUGGGUCAGCGACUUAUAUUCUGUAGCAAGGUUAACCGAAUAGGGGAGCCGGAGGGAAACCGAGUCUUAAUUGGGCGUUAAGUUGCAGGGUAUAGACCCGAAACCCGGUGAUCUAGCCAUGGGCAGGUUGAAGGUUGGGUAACACUAACUGGAGGACCGAACCGACUAAUGUUGAAAAAUUAGCGGAUGACCUGUGGCUGGGGGUGAAAGGCCAAUCAAACCGGGAGAUAGCUGGUUCUCCCCGAAAGCUAUUUAGGUAGCGCCUCGUGAAUUCAUCUCCGGGGGUAGAGCACUGUUUCGGCUAGGGGGCCAUCCCGGCUUACCAACCCGAUGCAAACUGCGAAUACCGGAGAAUGUUAUCACGGGAGACACACGGCGGGUGCUAACGUCCGUCGUGAAGAGGGAAACAACCCAGACCGCCAGCUAAGGUCCCAAAGUCAUGGUUAAGUGGGAAACGAUGUGGGAAGGCCCAGACAGCCGUGAUGUUGGCUUAGAAGCAGCCAUCAUUUAAAGAAAGCGUAAUAGCUCACUGGUCGAGUCGGCCUGCGCGGAAGAUGUAACGGGCUAAACCAUGCACCGAAGCUGCGGCAGCGACACUGUGUGUUGUUGGGUAGGGAGCGUUCUGUAAGCCUGCGAAGGUGGCCUGUGAGGGUUGCUGGAGGUAUCAGAAGUGCGAAUGCUGACAUAAGUAACGAUAAAGCGGGUGAAAAGCCCGCUCGCCGGAAGACCAAGGGUUCCUGUCCAACGUUAAUCGGGGCAGGGUGAGUCGACCCUAAGGCGAGGCCGAAAGGCGUAGUCGAUGGGAAACGGGUUAAUAUUCCCGUACUUGGUGUUACUGCGAAGGGGGGACGGAGAAGGCUAUGUUGGCCGGGCGACGGUUGUCCCGGUUUAAGCGUGUAGGUGUGUGUUCCAGGUAAAUCCGGUUCACUUUAACACUGAGGCGUGACGACGAGGCACUACGGUGCUGAAGCAACAAAUGCCCUGCUUCCAGGAAAAGCCUCUAAGCAUCAGGUAACAUCAAAUCGUACCCCAAACCGACACAGGUGGUCAGGUAGAGAAUACCAAGGCGCUUGAGAGAACUCGGGUGAAGGAACUAGGCAAAAUGGUGCCGUAACUUCGGGAGAAGGCACGCUGACAUGUAGGUGAAGUGAUUUACUCAUGGAGCUGAAGUCAGUCGAAGAUACCAGCUGGCUGCAACUGUUUAUUAAAAACACAGCACUGUGCAAACACGAAAGUGGACGUAUACGGUGUGACGCCUGCCCGGUGCCGGAAGGUUAAUUGAUGGGGUCAGCGCAAGCGAAGCUCCUGAUCGAAGCCCCGGUAAACGGCGGCCGUAACUAUAACGGUCCUAAGGUAGCGAAAUUCCUUGUCGGGUAAGUUCCGACCUGCACGAAUGGCGUAAUGAUGGCCAGGCUGUCUCCACCCGAGACUCAGUGAAAUUGAACUCGCUGUGAAGAUGCAGUGUACCCGCGGCAAGACGGAAAGACCCCGUGAACCUUUACUAUAGCUUGACACUGAACAUUGAGCCUUGAUGUGUAGGAUAGGUGGGAGGCUUUGAAGCGUGGACGCCAGUCUGCAUGGAGCCGACCUUGAAAUACCACCCUUUAAUGUUUGAUGUUCUAACGUGGACCCGUAAUCCGGGUUGCGGACAGUGUCUGGUGGGUAGUUUGACUGGGGCGGUCUCCUCCUAAAGAGUAACGGAGGAGCACGAAGGUUGGCUAAUCCUGGUCGGACAUCAGGAGGUUAGUGCAAUGGCAUAAGCCAGCUUGACUGCGAGCGUGACGGCGCGAGCAGGUGCGAAAGCAGGUCAUAGUGAUCCGGUGGUUCUGAAUGGAAGGGCCAUCGCUCAACGGAUAAAAGGUACUCCGGGGAUAACAGGCUGAUACCGCCCAAGAGUUCAUAUCGACGGCGGUGUUUGGCACCUCGAUGUCGGCUCAUCACAUCCUGGGGCUGAAGUAGGUCCCAAGGGUAUGGCUGUUCGCCAUUUAAAGUGGUACGCGAGCUGGGUUUAGAACGUCGUGAGACAGUUCGGUCCCUAUCUGCCGUGGGCGCUGGAGAACUGAGGGGGGCUGCUCCUAGUACGAGAGGACCGGAGUGGACGCAUCACUGGUGUUCGGGUUGUCAUGCCAAUGGCACUGCCCGGUAGCUAAAUGCGGAAGAGAUAAGUGCUGAAAGCAUCUAAGCACGAAACUUGCCCCGAGAUGAGUUCUCCCUGAGACUUAGAGUCUCCUGAAGGAACGUUGAAGACGACGACGUUGAUAGGCCGGGUGUGUAAGCGCAGCGAUGCGUUGAGCUAACCGGUACUAAUGAACCGUGAGGCUUAACCUUACAACGCCGAAG
rnacentral:rRNA from 1 species